rnacentral:miRNA from 1 species
AGACUGAUGAGUUCCCGGGA